rnacentral:ncRNA from 2 species
GGUAACGAGUGCCAGCGUCAAGCCCCGGCUUGCUGGCCGGCAACCCUCCCGUCCGCGGCGGGGUGCCCCGGGUGAGGACCAGGCCCGGCACGAGGUGUGCCGAGGCAAGCGCGGACU